AGAAUCUGGUAUAAGGAAGUCAGAUCCUUCUGUAAUAAUAUUCACUGAUACAAAUAUGAUCUGUAGUUAAUUAAAUAGUCGGGAUUUAUACUAGAGAAUGUUUCUGACGUUAUAUUGUUGUCUUUUGUUGCAGACACCAAGUGCCGAGGUCCUGUCUCAACCUCCUUCAGACCAAUUGGCUCAAGGACCAAGUAUUCCGGGGGUUCCAAGCCACACGCUUUACUCAGCUGCCCUGGACAACAUGAAGGGCACCUCUGCCUCAAUCACCCUGGACAACAAAAACAUUAGCAACACUUCACCAAGAAGGGCUGGGACGGUGAGAAGCAAGUGGACAAAUGAUGAAGUGAAGGUUGCUGAGCGGCACGUUUCACUUCAUAAAAAGCUGCAAAGUACCAGGUAAAAAGGAAUGUGACUGCUGCCUCCAAGCAGAGCCGGCAGCUCUGAAAGGCAGAGACUGGGUUUUCAUAAGGUACUACAGCCACAACAGGAUCAUAGCAUUAAAAGAAAGAUGCAAGAAAAAAAGAAACAAGCAAGAGAGAUACUUUGUUACUUCCACAGUUAUGUCAGUAUUGCAGUUUUCUGUAUUGCAUUGUUCUUACUCAUAAAUCUGUGGUUUAUGCUGGGUGCUUUUUGCAAUUAAAUGAUAAAAAAGGCA